CCUAGAUGCUCGGCGCAACAAGUCAGCCAGCAGACAGACAUUCCAUGUGCUCAGUGCUCCUCUGCCUUCGUUUGGACAACUCCGACAACCGCUUCUCCUCUUCCAGUCUUGUCUACCUUUCCCCACGGACUUCUUUACUAUCUAAGACGAUGAUGUGGACAUUCGGCCGAAUGUUGUCUUCUGUGAGUGCGCCGUGGAAAUGAUAUACUCGACAGCAUAGCUAACCGCAGCUUCCGCCACGGCUGAUGAUGAUGACGAUGAUGAUGGACCAACAGGAGCAGAGUGAUGACAUCAGUGUCCCGAGCCCGCUGGAGUUGCUGACCGAGGCCGCCAAGGAGGACGAUGGGCACUGCCAACCACAGUUCAGGCUGCAACUGAUUGAUGACCUGACAUAUGAAGAUGUCAAGAAAUGCUACAGGGGCUCGACCGUCAGCAAGUACAACUCCCAGUACCACAAGCUGUUCCAGAGCGUCCCCAAGGAGGAGAUCCUUAUGAAAGUGUAUUCCUGCGCUCUCCUCCGAGACAUCCUACUUCAGGGCCACCUCUACAUCUCCCGCAACUGGCUGUGUUUCUAUGCCAACCUCUUUGGGAAGGACAUCAAGGUGGCCAUUCCAGUGGUGUCAUUACGGCUGGUGAAGAAGCACAGGACGGCAGGCCUGGUACCUAACGGGUUGGCCAUCACCGUGGACACCAGCCAGAAGUAUGUGUUUGUGUCCUUGCUGUCUCGAGACAGUGUCUACGACAUCCUCAGGAGGAUCUGCACACACCUUCAGGUGAAUGGGAAGAAAAGCCUCAGCUUGAAGCAGUACUUGGAGGAGCCGAGCUCACUAUCUAUGGAUGAGUUCCCCGUGGUCAAUGACUUCCCUGCGGUGUUGAAGUGGAGGAGGAAGCCGUCCAGUCCGUCCGUGUCCUCCUCUCUCCCGGAUCUCCUUGGUAACCCCACCAGCAGUCGGCGUGCAGUGGACAUCCCCUACCUACCUACGGAGGUUCCACUGACAUUAAAGGAGCGGAGUCUGGAGACAGGGAAGAUCCUCCUGACAGAGCCAGUACCAGAACUGGGCCACAUGGAGUACCAACUGCUCAAGUUCUUCAUCCUGCUUAUCGUCCUGCUCGUCCUGUCCUCCUGCUACCUGACCUUCCGUGUGUGUUGUUUAGAGCAGCAGCUGUCCUUCCUCAACACACAUCCCACAAUGCCCACGAGAGAGAGGUGUGAAGAAGUGCCCUGCUGGUUCAAUGAAAAGACAAUUACUUGAGAAAAUCCAAGACCUGAAGCCAAAACUGCAGUUAAAUAGUCUGUCCAAUAGGGGGCGCCAGAGAGACAAGAAUCCUCUUGUCGUUCCCUAGAAAGACUAUGGACUGCAGACAAAAGACUGGAAUGGAUUGAGGAGGAUUGGAAGUAGACGACUACAGAGUAGGUGUCAAUGGGACAGAGCCAACAGAGUUCACCUGACCUUUGACCUCAAUGUCCUUGUUUUACUCGGAUUCUGCCAAGGAACUUUACAAUACCAGUCAACUGAUCAGACACUUCCGCGUCCAGGAUUUUAGAGACAGAGCCUGUUGUCAGAGACACGGAGCCUGUUGUCAGAGACACAGAGCCUGUUGUCAGAGACACGGAGCCUGUUGUCAGAGACACGGAGCCUGUUGUCAGAGACACGGAGCCUGUUGUCAGAGACACGGAGCCUGUUGUCAGAGACACGGAGCCUGUUGUCAGAGACACGGAGCCUGUUGUCAGAGACACGGAGCCUGUUGUCAGAGACACGGAGCCUGUUGUCAGAGACACGGAGCCUGUUGUCAGAGACACGGAGCCUGUUGUCAGAGACACGGAGCCUUUUUCAACAGGAAUAGACUAUACCCAGUAGGAGAGUGGCUACGAGAGAGACUGAAUAAAGAUUGAAUAUAAGAAGGCAGUCCGGUCAGGAACUCAACCUGACCUGGUCAACCAUUUCCAAGCGUAGCCCACCUUGCAAUGAUUACUGAGCAUGGUCACCGAGACAUAACCGUUCCUGUAAUACUAAGGAAAAAUAUAAACUAUUUCAAUGGACACUAUUAUCAGAGGUUUAACAUUUCUGUCAGAAUUUGAAGAUGCUGUGCUCGAGUCUUGUCAUGCCAACUGAAAACAUGCUACUGUGUGUGUCAGGUGAGGUUGUGAAAGUGUGUGUGUGUGUGUAUGUAUGUGCGUGCGUGUUGUAUGUGUGUGUGUGUUUGAGUGUAUUAACCAUUGUUUGUGUGACUUAACAAGUGGCUAGGACUGUCUCAAGGUAGUCGGUAGCUUCUCCAUCUGAUAAGACAUGACGUCUGCGUCAUGUAAUAAUAGAUAUUGACAGAAUUGUAAAGCCAUUUGUGAAUCUGUGUUGGAUGGAGUGGAACUUUGGACGUGAACGGAGAGAAAGUGGUGAAAGUAUUGAGAGAGACAGAGGAAGAGGGGAGAGAAAGACAAAGAGACAGAGAGGAGACAGGGAGAAAGAGAGAGGAGAGAAAGACAAAGAGACAGAGAGGAGACAGAGCAGAGAGACAGAUAGAGAGAGGGGAGACAGACAGAGAAAGAGAGACUCAGGUUGACAAUGAAUUAGGUUGCUGUCAACUUGCCCUUAAUGUUCCAUGAGGAGAUGUGUACUAUAAAUAUUAUAAUAAUCUAUUUCAUGAGGAGGAGGUGUACUAUAAAUAUUAUAAUAUUCCAUGAGGAGGUGUGUACUAUAAAUAUUAUAAUAAUCUAUUUCAUGAGGAGGAGGUGUACUAUAAAUAUUAUAAUAUUCCAUGAGGAGGUGUGUACUAUAAAUAUUAUGAUAUUCCAUGGGGAGGUAUGUACUAUAAAUAUUAUGAUAUUCCAUGAGGAGGUGUGUACUAUAAAUAUUAUGAUAUUCCAUGAGGAGGUGUGUACUAUAAAUAUUAUAAUAUUCCAUGAGGAGGUAUGUACUAUAAAUAUUAUGAUAUUCCAUGAGGAGGUGUGUACUAUAAAUAUUAUGAUAUUCCAUGAGGAGGUGUGUACUAUAAAUAUUAUAAUUUUCAAUGAGGAGGUGUGUACUAUAAAUAUUAUAAUAUUCCAUGAGGAGGUGUGUACUAUAAAUAUUAUAAUAUUCCAUGAGGAGGUGUGUACUAUAAAUAUUAUAAUAUUCCAUGAGGAGGUGUGUACUAUAAAUAUUAUAAUAUUCCAUGAGGAGGCGUGUACUAUAAAUAUUAUAAUAUUCCAUGAGGAGGUGUGUACUAUAAAUAUUGACUUAACAAAUAAAUACUUAUUUCCCUCAUUAAAAUGAGGGAUCAAUUAAAUCUAUUUAUAACAUCUUUGACAUGCGUUUAUCUUUGAUUCUUGUUGUUAUUCUGUCUCUCACUGUUCAAAUAAACCUACCAUUAAA